rnacentral:rRNA from 1 species
CAGCCGCCGCGGUAAUACGGAGGGUGCAAGCGUUGUUCGGAAUUACUGGGCGUGAAGCGCGUGUAGGCGGCCUUGCAAGCCAGACGUGAAAGCCCUCGGCUUAACCGGGGAAGUGCGUCUGGAACUGCUCGGCUCGAGUACGGGAGAGGGAGGCGGAAUUCCCAGUGUAGAGGUGAAAUUCGUAGAUAUUGGGAGGAACACCGGUGGCGAAAGCGGCCUCCUGGACCGAUACUGACGCUGAGACGCGAAAGCGUGGGGAGCAAACAGGAUUAGAUACCCUGGUAGUCCACGCGGUAAACGAUGGGCACUAGGUGUGGGGGGUAUCCACUCCUCCCGUGCCGCAGCUAACGCACUAAGUGCCCCGCCUGGGGAGUACGGCCGCAAGGUUAAAACUCAAAGGAAUUGACGG